GCACCCUUAGAUCAAUUGGAUAGAUCGUUUGACUACGGAUCAAAAGGUUAGGGGUUCGAAUCCUCUAGGGUGCGCCA
rnacentral:tRNA from 1 species